rnacentral:miRNA from 1 species
AUGGUAGACUGUGAAGCGUACG